UACAGAGGGUGCGAGCGUUGUUCGGAAUUACUGGGCGUAAAGCGAACGUAGGCGGUGUUCCAUGUCAGAGGUGAAAGCCUGGGGCUCAACUCCAGAAUUGCCUUUGAAACGGGGACGCUUGAGUCCGAGAGAGGAUGGCGGAAUUCCUAGUGUAGAGGUGAAAUUCGUAGAUAUUAGGAAGAACACCGGUGGCGAAGGCGGCCAUCUGGCUCGGUACUGACGCUCAGGUUCGAAAGCGUGGGGAGCAAACAGG
rnacentral:rRNA from 1 species